ACCUGGGGCGCGCAGGGCUCAUUGUCGUGCAAAAGUGCUUACAGUGCAGGUAGCCUACACACUCUACUGCAAUGCAAGCACUUCUUGCAUUACCGUGCGGAUU
rnacentral:pre_miRNA from 1 species